UACGAAGGGGGCUAGCGUUGCUCGGAAUUACUGGGCGUAAAGCGCACGUAGGCGGAUCUUUAAGUCAGGGGUGAAAUCCUGGAGCUCAACUCCAGAACUGCCUUUGAUACUGAGGGUCUUGAGUUCGGGAGAGGUGAGUGGAACUGCGAGUGUAGAGGUGAAAUUCGUAGAUAUUCGCAAGAACACCAGUGGCGAAGGCGGCUCACUGGCCCAAUACUGACGCUGAGGUGCGAAAGCGUGGGGAGCAAACAGG
rnacentral:rRNA from 1 species